AUCGCUUCUCGGCCUUUUGGCUAAGAUCAAGUGUAGCAUCUGUUCUUAUCAGUUUAAUAUAGAAGGACAUCAAUGGAAAUGGUAGAGUAAAGAAUUGACAUCAU
rnacentral:snRNA from 10 species